UAAUGUAUAUAAAAACAGUAAUGUGAACAGUUAUAUUGCCAAAGCAGAUGGAUAUAUCUCUCCCCCAAUGGUUCUUCUUCCUGAAUCGUGCUUUCCGUCUAUCUCUCCCUCUCUCCCCCCAUUUCCCUCUAUCUGCCUCUCUUUGUGACUCCCUCUCUGAACUCCCCCCCCCUGUCCCAACCCCCUCUUUCCUUUCCUCCCUCCCUCUUCCUGUCUAAAUCUCUCUUUCUCACUUGUUUCCCAACUACUCAUCUCCAUUCAUUUCUUAUCAUAUCUUAUCUUCCUCUCCCCCCCUCCAUCUCACCACCUCUCUUCCUCUCUCCAUUCCUCUCACCUCUCUUUGUCUCUCCCUGCCUCAUUCUCUCUACAUCUCUCUUCUCCAUGUGUCUCCAUCUCGCUCUCCUCUACCUCUCUUGUAUUCUAUCUCUCCUCCCUCCUCCACCUCUCCCUCCCUCUAUGUAUUCCUCUCACUCUACGACUCUCCUCCUCUCUCCAUCUCUGUCUCAUGUGGGGUAGAUCAGAGAUUCUGGGAUCCCUGGGGCCGGUCUAGGGGUGUUUUACUGUGGAGACGGUGGCCUUCCCAUUGGAACACACUUUGGACCCUACGAAGGACACAGGACCGAUGAAGAGGGAGCCCUGGAGAGUGGAUACUCCUGGGAGAUCUACAAGAGCAGACACAAUGAUUACAUUGAUGCAAAGAGAGAGACACUUUCUAACUGGAUGAGGUACGUCAAUUGUGCUCGUAAUGAAGAGGAACAGAACCUAAUAGCGUUUCAGCACAAAGGAGG